rnacentral:rRNA from 1 species
UACAGAGGUCUCAAGCGUUGUUCGGAUUCAUUGGGCGUAAAGGGCGCGUAGGCGGCGCGCUAAGUCAGGUGUGAAAUUUCGGAGCUUAACUCCGAAACUGCAUUUGAUACUGGCGUGCUUGAGGACUGGAGAGGAGAGUGGAAUUCAUGGUGUAGCAGUGAAAUGCGUAGAGAUCAUGAGGAAGACCAGUGGCGAAGGCGGGGCUCUGGACAGUUCCUGACGCUGAGGCACGAAGGCCAGGGGAGCAAACGGG